rnacentral:rRNA from 1 species
UAAUGUAUGGGGAUCUGCCUGAUGGCGGGGGAUAACUACUGGAAACGGCAGCUAAUACCGCAUAAUGUCUGCGGACCAAAGCGGGGGACCUCCGGGCCUCGCGCCAUCAGAUGAACCCAUAUGGGAUUAGCUAGUAGGUGAGGUAACGGCUUACCUAGGCGACGAUCCCUAGCUGGUCUGAGAGGAUGAUCAGCCACACUGGGACUGAGACACGGCCCAG